UACGAAGGGGGCUAGCGUUGCUCGAAAUGACUGGGCGUAAAGGGCGCGUAGGCGGCGGUCACAGUCAGAUGUGAAAUUCCUGGGCUUAACCUGGGGGGCUGCAUUUGAUACGUGGUUGCUUGAGUGGGGAAGAGGGUCGUGGAAUUCCCAGUGUAGAGGUGAAAUUCGUAGAUAUUGGGAAGAACACCGGUGGCGAAGGCGGCGACCUGGUCCUUGACUGACGCUGAGGCGCGAAAAGCGUGGGGAGCAAACAGG
rnacentral:rRNA from 1 species